rnacentral:rRNA from 1 species
CCUACGGGUGGUAGCAGUGAGGAAUAUUGGUCAAUGGGCGGGAGCCUGAACCAGCCAAGCCGCGUGAGGGAAGAAUGUACAGCGUAUCGUAAACCUCUUUUGUCAGGGAACAAAGGCGGGGACGAGUCCCCGGACUAGGGUAACUGAAGAAAAAGCAUCGGCUAACCCCGUGCCAGCAGCCGCGGUAAUACGGAGGAUGCGAGCGGUAACCGGAUUUAUUGGGUUUAAAGGGUGCGUAGGCGGACUUUUAAGUCAGCGGUAAAAGCCCGGGGCUCAACCCCGGCGAGCCGUUGAAACUGGCGGGCUUGAGUUGGAGAGAAGUACGCGGAAUGCGCGGUGUAGCGGUGAAAUGCUUAGAUAUCGCGCAGAACCCCGAUUGCGAAGGCAGCGUACCGGCGCCACACUGACGCUGAGGCACGAAAGCGUGGGUAUCGAACAGGAUUAGAUACCCGGGUAGUC